CUAAAGCUAAAUACUGGCCAGAGACCGAUAGCGCACAAGUAGAGUGAUCGAAAGAUGAAAAGCACUUUGGAAAGAGAGUCAAAUAGCACGUGAAAUUGUUGAAAGGGAAGCGCUUGCAGCCAGACUUGCCUGUAGUUGCUUAUCCGGACUUUUGUCCGGUGCACUCUUCUGCAGGCAGGCCAGCAUCAGUUUGGGCGGUUGGAUAAAGGUCUCUAUCACGUACCUCCCUUCGGGGUUGGCCUUAUAGGGGAGACGUCAUGCAACCAGCCUGGACUGAGGUCCGCGCAUCUGCUAGGAUGCUGGCGUAAUGGCUGUAAGCGGCCCGUCUUGAAACACGGACCAAGGAGUCUAACAUCUAUGCGAGUGUUUGGGUGUCAAGCCCAGACGCGUAAUGAAAGUGAACGGAGGUGGGAACCUUUUAGGUGCACCAUCGACCGAUCCUGAUGUCUUCGGAUGGAUUUGAGUAAGAGCAUGGCUGUUGGGACCCGAAAGAUGGUGAACUAUGCUUGAAUAGGGUGAAGCCAGAGGAAACUCUGGUGGAGGCUCGCAGCGGUUCUGACGUGCAAAUCGAUCGUCAAAUUUGGGCAUA
rnacentral:rRNA from 1 species